AAGAGCCUUUGGAUCAGAGGUUUUGCUUCAUUGAAUGUUGGAACAAACUUGGCCUUAUUCAUGAUUUUGUUCUAUAGGUUUAUUUAGGAGAUUGAAAACAUGAAUAAAAAACUAUCCAACCGUUAUGUUUGCAGGCAGGAUAUUUGCUUCAUGAUCGCGUAAUUCGGCCGGCGGAAGUUGGCGUAACCCAAGCAAAAGAAGAUAACAAUCCAGCAGAAUGAUGAAAACGAUAGUGUAGCUGAUCAUGACCCAUAGAAAAGAUAUUUCCUUCUUAUUGCAUAUUUGGAUAUCGUGUGAUGUUUCGUUAUGUAUCCGAAACAUUAUGAUCUUCCCUCCUUGGCACUAGUUCCAUUUUCCAUGCCUUUUACCAGCAUGCAACAUACUAUUCUUUUUAUUAAUCUCAUGUUUGGAAUAACAUGAUACAAUAAGACGAGUUUAGUUCCAUCAGAUUUUCCUUGUAUCGGUGUUGUUUAUACCAUUCCCAAGUAUAGUAAAUAUUUUGGUAACGAGAACCCUAGUAUGAAACUACAGAGUUUUAGUCGCUUUUUCCAAGAUCAUAAUUGAGAGACUAGGAUCAUAAUGGACCUCGCCGCAUAUCCGCACAGUUUUGAAAUGGACGAAGGCAAAUUCUCUCAAAGAGCAGUUAGCUUCCUUUAAGACGCAGGCAAAACCACACAAGCUUGAAGUUGCAAACCAUACAAGCUUGAAGCUCUGAGGUGUGGGAUUUGUGAAGUAACAACAAUAUCUAUGACUAUGUUACUUUAGGUGCAAUGCUUGGCAUACGAAUUUCAAUUCGUCAUUGAAUGAAUGAUUUGUAGAAUGUAAAUAAUACACCAGGUAAAUUCAUAGAAAAGAGAGGUGCAUCACCAUUGGAUGCUAUAAAGUAAAGUAUCAUGUCUUUCCUAGACACAAUUUUUCUAGACAUGCACAAUCACAAUACUACGCCAG
rnacentral:lncRNA from 1 species